rnacentral:tRNA from 1 species
GCUUUCUUGGUGUAAUGGUAGCACACUCGGUGCCUAUUCAAGAGGUCCAAGUUCGAGUCCCGGAGAGGGCA